rnacentral:rRNA from 1 species
GACAGAGGUGGCAAGCGUUGCUCGGACUCACUGGGCUUAAAGGGCGCGUAGGUGGUCUUGUAAGUCAAAGGUGGAAUUCCACAGCUUAACUGUGGAACUGCCUUUGAUACUGCAAGGCUUGAGUCAGGUAGAGGAGGGCGGAAUUCCCGGUGUAGCGGUGAAAUGCGUAGAUAUCGGGAGGAAGGCCGGUGGCGAAGGCGGCCCUCUGGGCCUGUACUGACACUGAGGCGCGAAAGCGUGGGGAGCAAACAGG